rnacentral:rRNA from 2 species
UUACCGAGUUUACAACUCCCAAACCCCUGUGAACAUACCUUAAUGUUGCCUCGGCGGAUCAGCCCGCGCCCCGUAAAACGGGACGGCCCGCCAGAGGACCCAAACUCUAAUGUUUCUUAUUGUAACUUCUGAGUAAAACAAACAAAUAAAUCAAAACUUUCAACAACGGAUCUCUUGGUUCUGGCAUCGAUGAAGAACGCAGCAAAAUGCGAUAAGUAAUGUGAAUUGCAGAAUUCAGUGAAUCAUCGAAUCUUUGAACGCACAUUGCGCCCGCUGGUAUUCCGGCGGGCAUGCCUGUUCGAGCGUCAUUUCAACCCUCAAGCCCCCGGGUUUGGUGUUGGGGAUCGGCUCUGCCCUUCUGGGCGGUGCCGCCCCCGAAAUACAUUGGCGGUCUCGCUGCAGCCUCCAUUGCGUAGUAGCUAACACCUCGCAACUGGAACGCGGCGCGGCCAUGCCGUAAAACCCCAACUUCUGAAUGUUGACCUCGGAUCAGGUAGGAAUACCCGCUGAACUUAAGCAUA